rnacentral:rRNA from 1 species
GACGAUCAGCCACACUGGAACUGAGACACGGUCCAGACUCCUACGGGAGGCAGCAGUAGGGAAUCUUGCGCAAUGGGCGAAAGCCUGACGCAGCAAUGCCGCGUGCGGGACGAAGGCCCUAGGGUCGUAAACCGCUUUCAGUAGGGACGAAAAUGACGGUACCUGCAGAAGAAGCUCCGGCCAACUACGUGCCAGCAGCCGCGGUGAUACGUAGGGAGCAAGCGUUGUCCGGAAUUACUGGGCGUAAAGGGCUCGUAGGUGGUUGAGUAAGUCAGAUGUGAAAUCUCAGGGCCCAACCCUGAGCGUGCAUUUGAUACUGCUCUGACUAGAGUCCGGUAGGGGAGUGCGGAAUUCCUGGUGUAGCGGUGAAAUGCGCAGAUAUCAGGAGGAACACCGACAGCGAAGGCAGCACUCUGGGCCGGUGCUGACACUGAGGAGCGAAAGCAUGGGUAGCAAACAGGAUUAGAUACCCUGGUAGUCCAUGCCGUAAACGUUGGGCACUAGGUGAGGGGAGAACUCAACUCUCUCCGCGCCGUAGCUAACGCAUUAAGUGCCCCGCCUGGGGAGUACGGCCGCAAGGCUAAAACUCAAAGGAAUUGACGGGGGCCCGCACAAGCGGCGGAGCAUGUUGCUUAAUUCGAGGCAACGCGAAGAACCUUACCUGGGUUGAACUACGUGGGAAAAGCCGCAGAGAUGCGGUGUCCUUCGGGGUCCACGAUAGGUGGUGCAUGGCUGUCGUCAGCUCGUGUCGUGAGAUGUUGGGUUAAGUCCCGCAACGAGCGCAACCCUUGUCCUGUGUUGCCAGCGGGUAAAGCCGGGGACUCGUAGGAGACUGCCGGGGUCAACUCGGAGGAAGGUGGGGACGACGUCAAGUCAUCAUGCCCCUUAUGUCCAGGGCUGCAAACAUGCUACAAUGGCCGGUACAACGGGCAGCUAAACCGCGAGGUCAAGCGAAUCCCACAAAGCCGGUCUCAGUUCGGAUUAAGUCUGCAACUCGACUUCAUGAAGCUGGAGUCGCUAGUAAUCCCGGAUCAGCAACGCCGGGGUGAAUACGUUCCCGGGCCUUGUACACACCGCCCGUCACACGCCGAAAGUCGGCAACACCCGAAGUCAGUGGCCCAACCCCUAGGGGAGGGAGCUGCCGAAGGUGGGGCUGGCGAUUGGGGUGAAGUCGUAACAAGGUAGCCGUACCGGAAGGUGCGGCUG